ACGGGGCGCAGCAGGCGCGAAAACUUCGCAAUGGGGGAAACCCCGACGAGGGAAAGCCAAGUGCUCGCACAAUGUGCUGGCUGUUUUCUUGUCUAAAAAACAAGGAGAGUAAGGGCUGGGUAAGACGGGUGCCAGCCGCCGCGGUAAUACCUGCAGCCCGAGUGGUACUCGUUAUUAUUGGGUCUAAAUCGUCCGUAGUCGGCUAAGUAGAUGCCCGGGUAAAUCGCAGCGCUUAACGUUGCGAAUUCCGGGUAGACCGCUUGACUAGGGAUUGGGAGAGGUGCAAAGUACUUCGAGGGUAGGGGUAAAAUCCUGUAAUCCUCGGGGGACUACCAGUGGCGAAGGCGUUGCACUAGAACAAGUCCGACGAUCAGGGACGAAGCCCUGGGGCGCAAACGGGAUUAGAUACCCCGGUAGUCCAGGGUGUAAACGCUGUGGUCUUGGUGUUGGGUGUCCUACGAGGGCGCCCAGUGCCGGAGAGAAGUUGUUAAGACUACUGCCUGGGGAGUACGGUCGCAAGACUGAAACUCAAAGGAAUUGACGGA
rnacentral:rRNA from 1 species